UGUCUAUUAAUUGUAGACUAGUAUGAAAGGCAAAAUGAGGGUUUGACUGUCUCUUAUAAUGAACCAAUCAAACUGAUCUCCCAGUAAAAAAGCUGGAAUACCACCACAAGACCAGAAGACCCUGUGAAGCUUAAACUAAACUAUUAACCCCUAUAAUAACUACUUUCGGUUGGGGCGACCUUGGAAAAAAAAAGAACUUCCAAACACCAGUGAUAAUACUCACACCAUAGGCCCACAAGCCAUUAACACUUAGACCCAGUAAAACUGAAAACUGAACCAAGUUACUCCAGGGAUAACAGCGCCAUCUUCUUCAAGAGUCCAUAUCAAAAAGAAGGUUUACGACCUCGAUGUUGGAUCAGGACAUCCUAAUGGUGCA
rnacentral:rRNA from 1 species